GCGGUAGUAGCUCAGUUGGUAGAGCAUCGGCUUCCCAAGCCGAGGGUCGCGGGUUCGAGUCCCGUCUACCGCU
rnacentral:tRNA from 2 species